CCUACGGGAGGCAGCAGUGGGGAAUAUUGCACAAUGGGGGAAACCCUGAUGCAGCGACGCCGCGUGAGCGAUGAAGUAUUUCGGUAUGUAAAGCUCUAUCAGCAGGGAAGAAAAUGACGGUACCUGACUAAGAAGCCCCGGCUAACUACGUGCCAGCAGCCGCGGUCAUACGUCGGGGGCAAGCGUUAUCCGGAUUUACGGGGUGUAAAGGGAGCGUUGGUGGGUCUGCAAGCCAGAUGUGAAAACCCGGGGCUCAACCCCGGGACUGCAUUUGAAACUGUAAGGCUAGAGUGGAGGAGAGGCAGGCGGAAUUCCUGGGGUAGCGGUGAAAUGCGUAGAUAUUAGGAGGAACACCAGUGGCGAAGGCGGCCUGCUGGACGGUGACUGACGUUGAGGCUCGAAAGCGUGGGGAGCAAACAGGAUUAGAUACCCGAGUAGUC
rnacentral:rRNA from 1 species